GACACAAGUUCAGUAGGGACACCUGGGCCAUCCGUUCAGUCAUCCAGGCUGUCGUCUGUAGGCACUUCCCCGCUUGCCUCCCUUACCAGCCCAAGCACCAGCAGAGGCGUGCUCGUGACAGUUGGAUGUCAUGGGGAACUGUCCAGUUCAUUCGGCAUUUGUGCAUGCUGAUGAUUCUUACUAACCCUCAUACAUGUUACAAUGAAUUGUACUCAGUCUGAGCCAAUAAAAAUGGAUUCUAUCGACCACAA